rnacentral:ncRNA from 2 species
CAGGAUAGCUAGGGGUGCCGCAGGCUGAGAAAUGAAAGCAAUUUCAUUGACCCUCAUCACCUGAUCUGGAUAAUGCCAGUGUAGGGAAGCGAUAUAAUAUGAUA